GACGAACGCUGGCGGCGUGCCUAACACAUGCAAGUCGAACGAGGUCCAUGCAGUGGCAACACUGCGGAAGACCUAGUGGCGAACGGGUGAGUAACACGUGAGGAACCUGCCCCGAAGACCGGGAUAACCCUCCGAAAGGAGAGCUAAUACCGGAUACCCCCACCGGAUCGCAUGAUCUGGUGAGGAAAUGGAUUCCGCUUCGGGAGGGCCUCGCGGCCUAUCAGCUAGUUGGUGGGGUAACGGCCCACCAAGGCAUCGACGGGUAGCUGGUCUGAGAGGACGACCAGCCAGACUGGGACUGAGACACGGCCCAGGGCCUUACGGGAGGCAGCAGUGGGGAAUCUUGCGCAAUGGCGAAAGCCGGACGCAGCAACGCCGCGUGGGGGAUGAAGGCUCUCGGGUUGUAAACCCCUUUCAGCAGGGACGAAUCAAGACGGUACCUGCAGAAGAAGCCCCGGCUAACUACGUGCCAGCCGCCGCAGUAAAAC
rnacentral:rRNA from 1 species